UACGUAGGGGGCUAGCGUUGUCCGGAAUCAUUGGGCGUAAAGCGCGUGUAGGCGGUCCGGUAAGUCCGCUGUGAAAGUCGGGGGCUCAACCCUCGAAUGCCGGUGGAUACUGUCGGGCUAGAGUGCGGAAGAGGCGAGUGGAAUUCCUGGUGUAGCGGUGAAAUGCGCAGAUAUCAGGAGGAACACCGAUGGCGAAGGCAGCUCACUGGGACGGUACUGACGCUGAGGCGCGAAAGCGUGGGGAGCAAACAGG
rnacentral:rRNA from 1 species